rnacentral:lncRNA from 1 species
GCUGUCUAGGGAUGGGAGCUGAGUUUGUAAUGCUCCUGAUUUACUAGAAACAAGGGCUAUAUGGAGAAGCUGGAAGGAUCAUGUACUCAUGAUACAGCUUGGAAAACAGUGGACACUCAGAAGUGUAAGAAUUAAAGGUUAGUUCUCAGGUUGCUUAUAGCCUGGGAGGAGCUUCUGCUGAGUGCGGGGAGAGGCAAAAAGGUAGGAUGGCAGAAACUGCUUCCAGCUGGUGUUUGUUUAACAAAGCUUUAGAGGUGAAGGCAGAAGGAAGCCUGGGAGAUGUUUGGGUUUUGUUCAUGCUGGAGAACUGAAGAUUACCGUGUUUAUAUCAUUUGACUAAAAUUAACAUUGACGUUACCAUACGGGCUGGCCCCUUUCCUGCCCCAUCUGUUCUCUCUGGAAGUGUGCCCUUGGCAGUUGGACCUGCUGCAUUAAGUGGGCCUGAGGAGGCAGCCCUGCCCAGGUCGUGCUGGGAUAGCUUCUCCCCCACCAGUCUCUCUUGCUUGCAUGAAGAGGAAGCCUGUAUUGCCUGUAAAGACCAGCUUCAACCACAUACCAAAGGAGAAGUGGAGUUUAUGCUGAGGCCAGCUGCUGGCCGGGAUACCCGUGCUUGAGAGAGGAAUCAAGAAGCUAAAGGUCACUGCACAGAAUCUGUCCAUCACACAGACCUUGCCUCAGGAAUGCAGCCACUGGAUCCAUCCUUUGGUGAGCAAUGUAAGCUUGGUCAUUCUGAAUGUCUGUUCUCUCAUCUUGAUGUUUUCCUUUGACAUUAAAGAGCCAAUUGCUGGUAUUUUGCUGGAUUUAGUUUGGAUAGAAUGGAAGCAGUCAGAUUUCAUCCUUUUAUAUAAUUCUAGCCUAGCCCUGGAGACAGCUGUGAAUCCACAGAGGUCUGACUUCUAUUCAUAACUGGUUUCAGUCCUGUGUUGCUUAUUGUGUGUGUCUGAGAUCAGUAAAAAUUAAACAUCGAUUAAAAGUUUUCUGAUGGCAGUAACUGAAAAGGCAAUGGGAUACUCAGAAAUUAUUUUCUACUCCACAGUUUUUUUCAUAAGCUUUUUUCUUAGUAUCUGUUUGCCAUGGGAUCUAUAGCUGCCUGUCUUAUAA